CGGUGACCGCGGUCAUUCAAGCAGUUUCUCACAGAUUGCUGUGCCUAACUGUUCGUGCUGCAUACUGACUUGACGCCUUCAAUGAAAAGCCAAUGAUGCCGAAAACUAAAAGAAAAAGACAGGGGACUAUAGACGGCUUUUUCAAGAGAAAACAAGUGCACUGGAUGCUGCUGCUGUAUGCAUACAGCAAUUGGAAGAAACAGUCAAGGAGCUGAUGAGAGCUGUCACAGCUGAAAGUGGUUCAAGUGCCUUUUCACAGAUUUUGUGUCUCAGACAAGGACAUCCUUUUUUACACCAGAUUCACAUCAAGAGAUGUUUUUUGUGACUUCUGGGAGGUUAUUCAACCAUCUGCCUCCAUGUUGGUUUAUUGGUCGAAAGCUCAGAAAAAGAAACAAACAUUUGAACCCAUUUCUCCCAGUCCAACGUGUAGAUUGCAACUGGUUGAGUUUUUUCUCUUCUGCUGCCGGGUUGCUGCAGGCCUGCAAGAGAAGGUGCUGGCUGACAUGUUUCAGAGCUGACUGAACGAAGUGGACUGCUGGAUUUACUGGAGCCAGGAGAUGGCUGCAUGGCAGACAAGGGUUUCACCAUUGAGAAGCCACUAGCUGAUCGUGGGGCAACGCUGAUUAUACCACCCUUCAAGAUUCUACGGCUCGUGGACAAAGAAGUUUUCUACAAGUGGCAAAGAAGAUGACAAUCACCGAGGGGGAAAACAAACUCACGAUUCGCCAGGAUCUGACCGCAGAGGUGCGGCGAAAACGCAGAGAAUUCGACCGAGUGAUCAAGAUCUACAUUGCAAAAGGCAUCUUCCGAGGGUUUGCAUACCCCCACCGACUUCGUAUCCUACACGAAAACAAGAUUGUCCUGUUCGAUGAUCCAAAAGAAGCAGGAUCAUUUGCCGACGGGCUAGAGUGAGUUUAGUCUUAAAUUCACAAUCCAGAGUAGAGUUCACCGAAGAGGAUGCUCUGAAAACACAAGCAAUCGCCCGACUUCGAAUCCUCGUAGAAAGAGCAAUAGGCAGAGUCAAGGAAUACCGCAUCUGGGAACGCACUGUCCUUUCACCUUGUCUGCGGCAUUCAACCAGCUGUGGACCGUCUGCUGUGUGAUGACCAACUUCCAGGGACCACUUGAUUUAAAAGGCUACAUCCCUGUUGAAUAGUGUUUCUACUCAAACAUGUACCUAUAAAUAAUAAAUAUAAUAUAUAAAUAUUAAAACGAGAGGCACUGAACAUUUGGAGUGGUCCCUUCAUUUUUUCCGGAGCUGUAAUUCUGUAUACUGAAAACCUUGUAUAUAUUGAAUGACAUGUAUGUAAUUUAAUGAGAAGUCUUUCAUCUAUAAUCAAUUUAAAAGUCCAGUCAGUCCAUC
ensembl:lncRNA